rnacentral:rRNA from 1 species
UGGCCAAACUACCCUUCGGAGCACCAUACCCUCGGGAAACUGAGGCUAAUAGUGCAUCCCGCACUCACCCUGGAAUGGCGAGUGCGUCAAACGCUCCGGCGCCGAAGGAUGUGGCUGCGGCCGAUUAGGUAGACGGUGGGGUAACGGCCCACCGUGCCGAUAUCGGUACGGGUCAUGAGAGUGAGAACCCGGAGACGGAAUCUGAGACAAGAUUCCGGGCCCUACGGGGCGCAGCAGGCGCGAAACCUUUACACUGCACGACAGUGCGAUAAGGGGAUCCCAAGUGCACAGGCAUAGAGCCUGUGCUUUUGUACACCCUAGGGAGGUGUCCGAAUAAGGGCUGGGCAAGACCGGUGCCAGCCGCCGCGGUAAUACCGGCAGCCCAAGUGAUGGCCGAUCUUAUUGGGCCUAAAGCGUCCGUAGCUGGCCGCGCAAGUCCAUCGGGAAAUCCACCCGCUCAACGGGUGGACGUCCGGUGGAAACUGCACGGCUUGGGACCGGAAGGCGCGACGGGUACGUCCGGGGUAGGAGUGAAAUCCCGUAAUCCUGGACGGACCGCCGAUGGCGAAAGCACGUCGCGAGAACGGAUCCGACAGUGAGGGACGAAAGCUAGGGUCUCGAACCGGAUUAGAUACCCGGGUAGUCCUAGCCGUAAACAAUGCCUGCUAGGUGUGGCUCCCACUACGAGUGGGUGCUGUGCCGUAGGGAAGCCGCUAAGCAGGCCGCCUGGGAAGUACGUCCGCAAGGAUGAAACUUAAAGGAAUUGGCGGGGGAGCACUACAACCGGAGGAGCCUGCGGUUUAAUUGGACUCAACGCCGGACAUCUCACCAGCAUCGACUGUGGUAAUGACGGUCAGGUUGAUGACCUCGCCACGAGCCACAGAGAGGAGGUGCAUGGCCGCCGUCAGCUCGUACCGUGAGGCGUCCUGUUAAGUCAGGCAACGAGCGAGACCCGCAUCCGUACUUGCCAGCAACACUGCGAAGUGGUUGGGGACAGUACGGAGACUGCCGUGGCCAACACGGAGGAAGGAACGGGCAACGGUAGGUCAGUAUGCCCCGAAUGUGCUGGGCAACACGCGGGCUACAAUGGUCAGGACAAAGGGUUCCUACUCCGAAAGGAGACGGUAAUCUCAGAAACCUGAUCGUAGUUCGGAUUGUGGGCUGCAACUCGCCCACAUGAAGCUGGAUUCGGUAGUAAUCGCGUGUCACAAGCGCGCGGUGAAUACGUCCCUGCUCCUUGCACACACCGCCCGUCAAAGCA